rnacentral:misc_RNA from 1 species
UACGUAGGGUGCGAGCGUUAAUCGGAAUUACUGGGCGUAAAGCGUGCGCAGGCGGUUUUGUAAGACAGGUGUGGAAUCCCCGGGCUUAACCUGGGAACUGCGCUUGUGACUGCAAGACUCGAGUACGGCAGAGGGGGGUAGAAUUCCACGUGUAGCAGUGAAAUGCGUAGAGAUGUGGAGGAAUACCGAUGGCGAAGGCAGCCCCCUGGGUCGAUACUGACGCUCAUGCACGAAAGCGUGGGGAGCAAACAGG